GAUGAACGCUGGCGGCGUGCCUAAUACAUGCAAGUCGAGCGAACAGACGAGGAGCUUGCUCCUCUGACGUUAGCGGCGGACGGGUGAGUAACACGUGGAUAACCUACCUAUAAGACUGGGAUAACUUCGGGAAACCGGAGCUAAUACCGGAUAAUAUAUUGAACCGCAUGGUUCAAUAGUGAAAGACGGUUUUGCUGUCACUUAUAGAUGGAUCCGCGCCGCAUUAGCUAGUUGGUAGGGUAACGGCUUACCAAGGCAACGAUGCGUAGCCGACCUGAGAGGGUGGUCGGCCACACUGGAACUGAGACACGGUCCAGACUCCUACGGGAGGCAGCAGUAGGGAAUCUUCCGCAAUGGGCGAAAGCCUGACGGAGCAACGCCGCGUGAGUGAUGAAGGUCUUCGGAUCGUAAAACUCUGUUAUUAGGGAAGAACAAAUGUGUAAGUAACUAUGCACGUCUUGACGGUACCUAAUCAGAAAGCCACGGCUAACUACGUG
rnacentral:rRNA from 1 species